rnacentral:rRNA from 1 species
ACACGGGGGGCGCAAGCGUUAUUCGGAAUUAUUGGGCGUAAAGGGCGCGUAGGCGGUCUUGUCGGUCAGAUGUGAAAGCCCAGGGCUCAACCCUGGACGUGCAUUUGAAACAGCAAGACUAGAGUACGGGAGAGGAAAGCGGAAUUCCUGGUGUAGAGGUGAAAUUCGUAGAUAUCAGGAGGAACACCGAUGGCGAAGGCAGCUUUCUGGACCGAUACUGACGCUGAGGCGCGAAGGCGUGGAUAGCGAACAGGAUUAGAAACCCCAGUAGUCC